GAAGAGGUACCUGAGGAGAGUUUAUUAGAGGUAUUAUAUGAUCAAAAUGUAUAAUUUCAAAAUCGUAUUCAUGAGUUAGAAGAGCAGGCUGAAGAACGACAGGCGGUCGUGGAACAAAAGUAUGCAACAAUUCAAGCUUGUGUUACCCGAUAUGUGAUGCUUGAACAGAAGCAUUCUUUGGCAGAGUAUAAGAUGAUAAAGAUGGAAUUUGAGCUGAA
rnacentral:lncRNA from 1 species